AUAUCAUCUGAAAAGCUCAGGCGGAAAGGCAUCAGGCCCCACUGUAGGUUCAGGCGCCUCCUUACAGAUGCUGUGGUUGUGAAAGCAAAGAUUGGACAAUCUGGCCGGCAACGAGACAAGAGAGAUGCCAGGUGACCAUUCUUUGUAUAGACAAAAAGAGCAUCCACCUCCAAAUUGUUAGCCAUCUUGGCAGCAGAAUUGCAAAUUUCUUCAGAAACAGAGUCAGAAAGUGCAGAUCCUACAGCAGGGAGUUGCGUAGCUUCAUGGCGUUUUGCUUCUCUCCACCACUUCUCAAUUCUUACA
rnacentral:misc_RNA from 1 species